rnacentral:rRNA from 1 species
AUUGAACGCUGGCGGCAGGCCUAACACAUGCAAGUCGAACGAGUGGCGGACGGGUGAGUAAUGUCUGGGCAACUGCCUGAUGGAGGGGGAAAACUGCUGGAAAAGGUAGCUAAUACCGCAUACCAUCAGAUGUGCCCAGAUGGGAUUAGCUUGUUGGUGGGGUAACGGCUCACCAAGGCGACGAUCCAUAGCUGGCCUGAGAGGAUGACCAGCCACACUGGAACUGAGACACGGCCCAGACUCCUACGGGAGGCAGCAGUGGGGAAUAUUGCACAAUGGGCGAAAGCCUGAUGCAGCCAUGCCGCGUGUGUGAAGAAGGCCUUCGGGUUGUAAAGCACUUUUAGCGGGGAGGUGGUACCCGAAGAAGAAGCACCGGCUAACUCCGUGCCAGCAGCCGCGGUAAUAC